CCCGCGCGCGCUUCAGCCGCCCCCGGAGCACGGGGCGAGCGCGCGUCGGGCGUCGGCCGCGCUGGGGGGCGUGGGGCGUCGGCGCCGGCAGCGGCGGCGGGGGCGAAACUUCGGGGCCAGAUGCCCGAGGGCGCGGCGGCGCUGCGAGGCUGCCGCUGCUGCCCCUGCGGGCCCUGGGCGCGACUCGGCGGGCGGCGCUGCCCGCGGCGCGGCGUGUGCACCGAGCGAGUGAAGGUAUGUGCGGCGGGCGCGGCUGGAGCUGCCGCCGCCGCGCCAGCAGGUCCUAAUGCCUGUCACUUCCCCGGACGCUGGCAGCAGCAGCCCCGAGCCCCGGAGCCCUCGGCAGGUCUGCCCGUCCUUCCCCGCGAUCUGAUUGGAUAAAGUGGGGGCUCGACGGUGGCCGACGUGGGACAGUCUGGCUGUGGCAGGGGUCUCGGAAACCAUGGGUUAUUGCAGUGGCAGGUGCACGCUUAUCUUUAUCUGUGGCAUGCAACUGGUUUGUGUGCUGGAGAGGCAAAUAUUUGACUUCCUUGGAUAUCAGUGGGCACCUAUCCUAGCAAAUUUUGUACAUAUUAUUAUUGUCAUUCUUGGUUUAUUUGGAACUAUUCAAUAUAGACCUCGUUACAUAACCGGAUAUGCUGUCUGGCUAGUCCUCUGGGUUACAUGGAAUGUGUUUGUUAUCUGCUUCUAUUUGGAGGCUGGGGACCUCUCAAAGGAAACAGACCUUAUCUUGACUUUUAAUAUAUCAAUGCACCGAUCUUGGUGGAUGGAGAAUGGACCGGGAUGUAUGGUGACGUCAGUGACACCCGCCCCAGACUGGGCCCCAGAAGACCAUCGCUACAUCACGGUCUCAGGGUGUUUUCUGGAGUACCAGUACAUAGAAGUGGCUCAUAGUUCUCUCCAGAUUAUUCUCGCACUGGCAGGGUUCAUCUACGCCUGUUAUGUUGUGAAAUGUAUAACUGAAGAAGAGGACAGCUUUGAUUUCAUAGGCGGCUUUGACUCUUAUGGCUAUCAGGGGCCUCAGAAGACAUCUCAUUUACAACUGCAGCCUAUGUACAUGCAAAUUCCCUUGGAUAACAACUGAUAACAAAUUCUAUAUAUCAGCAUCAAGUGAUAUGCUGAAUUGCAAGCGAAGAUCAAAAUAGAAAGUCGAAAUAAUACAGAUGGCUUCAUUAUGUCAGCUCCUGGACUUUUCAAAGAACUUGUUUCCUGCAAUGGCCUCCUGCAUUUUGUGAAGAAUAAACAGCAACUGAGUUGGAAUAUAUAUAUAUAUGCAUAUAUAUGUGUAUAUAUAUGCUUAUAUAUAUAUACAUAUAUAUAUGAACAAAAUAAACCUAAAGUUUUCACAUACACACACACACACAUACACACACGGGCACACAUGCCACGUGCCCGGGCACACACAAACACACACCAAUUACACUUGUCUCCUGUUUCUAACUGAAACAGAUAAAAAAAAAAAAAGAUGAUGAAGAAGAAGAAAAGAAAAGAAAAAAGAAAAAUGCAGGAGCCAGGACACGCCCCUCUCGGAUUUCCUGAAAGCGAGCUUCUUCCCUCCAGGUUCUUUGGAAAGUUCCUAAGGAGACGCGUUGGUGCCCUCUGCUGGUCGUCACUAAUUCCUCUGCAGUCCAGUUGUGAGCUGCAACAACGUCAUCCAGGCCACAUUAGCUUGAGAGCCCUGUCUCGAUAGCACCGCAGCUCUGUAAGCGAUGCAAUUGCAAAACAAACAAAACAUGCCGUGAUGACCUUGUAACCCAAGUGCGAAAUGGCAGGUUGUUUGCCCUAAAGGCCGGACCGUACAUACUUGCCUUAACCCACCUAAGUUGUGCCCCUGAGAAACUCAGUGCAGACAUCCCCAAACUCACUUCCUUUAGGCUAACACACUGCUAUUAAUUCCAAAUGAGUUCAAAUCUGUGUGUUUCGUGUCAAGGAACAAGACUGCGUAGCUCAGCAGCUCCAGUGUGUACGUACGAAAACUGCCAGUUGUCAGCAAAGUGCUUUACCAUUGAGCCUCCAUGGUGGCCAAAAAGAGAGAGAGAGAGGGAGAGAGAGAGGGAGAGGGGAGAGAAGUAACGACAACAAUAAUUGUCAUCUUUAGAAUUCUUAAACAUAGUCUUCUGAGGGAGUUGCGUAGGACAACAUAAAAUUUAUUAAUCUACUAAACUCAUUAAUCUACUGGAAACAGAGCAGAAAUGGCUUAACUCACUGGUUUUAUUUAUUGCACUCUAGGUGCUUUUAUAAGUAUCUACAAAUGUCUUUUACUAACGCAGAAACAGCUGUGGAUUUCUAUCAACAGAGGCCAACUGAAUAUGUAUUAGCUAUGUUUACUCUUUUAUAUCUAAUUCAAAUUGAAGACCCUAUGUAGGUGAACUUUUUUUCCUAACUUCAGCAUAUGAGAUUAUUUUUUGGGUGGGUGGGGGGAGCAAUAGUUAACUUGGUGAAAUAUUUGAAAUCUCUUUGUGGUAUUUGGGGGAUCUGUUGUGUGUUAGAGUGUAUUUAAAUCCUCCUGUAUUAUCGUGGCAGAAAAACUGUGCUGUUAAUGUAGUUGGCAACAAGAUGCCUUUGGAAACUUAAUAGUAGGUCAAUGUGUUUAUGAAAUAUUCCAAACUCCUAGGAAAUUUUGUUCUAUAUAUUCAAGCAUUAUUUGGUUUUCAUUAGUGGAAAACAUAAUUAGCUCUGACUUGUCAGGAACUUAGAUGAGUCAUGUUUUUCCUUGGAUCCACCUAAUAUACUAAAAUAAAUUUUUUUAGCUAGCACAUUUUUAAUGCAGUAAAAUUCUUACAAAAAAUUGGCAUGGAUCAACUUUAUCUUAGUUUCUAUGAAGUUUCAGUUACUGGGUGAAUCUACCUUGAAUCUUAGCCCAUCCAUAAAUCAGUCCCAUUGCUGUGUUUGCAUGGAUGUCUGUGAUCUAUACACAUAUGCAUUUGAAAAUGAUAAAGGAACAAAGGUUACUAUUGGAAUAUAAACUGUCAAGCAAGAUCCUAGCACUCGUGCUUGAACUUCUUCAGUGGCUUCUAUAUGUUUGUCCCAUACAUACAUGAAUAAAAUUUGCAGUUGCAAACAUGUUAGUGAAACCUCAUAUGAUGACUCGAUAGUGACAUGCAUGUUUAACAUAUGAGAAAACUAUUUACCACCGUAUUGUCCUUUGAUCCGUAAAUAUCAGUACUCUACAUGCCAGAAACUAUUCUAAUGUUACCAUUAAUAUGAAUAUUACGAUGAGGUUUCACUGUACUUUCAUGCUGUGAUGAGAUUUCACCUCCUAAAACAUGUAUGUGAAUAGAGGCUUCAGUGCACAGAGAAUAACUACGCCCUCAUAUUCCUGCUUUAAGUUGCAGCCAACUUACCACCUAAUCACUAUCAUCACCACCUAAAUUUUCGAAAACAGUUGUUGACUACUAAAAAGUAAUCAGUGGACAGUUGUUUUUUGGGAGCAGUGAGCACAGUAGUAUGAUUAUAUCUGGAAAAACAUCUCAGUUGUACAGCUGUAUCCUCCUCAAAAUCCGGUGAAGAAUGCUAUUUUUCUAGGCUGAACUUUUGUUAUAAACCUAAUAUUCAGAAGGCAAGAGUUACAAUCCUGAUGUGUCUUUUUUUUUUCAUUUGUUAAUUCUGAAUGUAUUUUUAACAGAGUGAUUUUUUUGACUUACUAGUGUAAUUUGCAUUUUAAAAAUAAAUGGAAAAACAAUUAA